rnacentral:rRNA from 1 species
GACGAACGCUGGCGGCGUGCUUAACACAUGCAAGUCGAACGGAAAGGCCCUGCUUUUGUGGUGUGCUCGAUUGGCGAACGGGUGAGUAACACUUGCGUAACCUGCCCUUGACUUUGGGAUAACUUCAGGAAACUGGGGCUCAUACCGGUUAGGAGCUCCUGCUGCAUGGUGGGGGUUGGACAGUUUCGGAGGUUGUGGAUGGGCUCGUGGCUUAUCAGCUUGUUGGUGGUGUAGUGGAUUACCAAGGCUUUGACGGGUAGCAGGCCUGAGAGGGUGACCGGGCACAUGAGGACAGAGAUACGGCAGGGAGUACUAAGGGAGGCAGGAGAAGGGAAGAGUGCAUGAUGGGCGGAAGUCGGAUGAAGCAAGGCCGUGUGAGGGAUGAUGGACUUCGGUUUGUAGACAGCUUUAGCAGGUGAGGAAGCGUGAGUGAAGGUAAUGGAUAAAGAAGCACCGGCUAACUACGUG